UACAGAGGGUGCGAGCGUUGUCCGGAAUCACUGGGCGUAAAGGGCGCGUAGGCGGCCCGGUAAGGUUGCGGUGAAAGUCCAGGGCUCAACCCUGGAAUGCCAGUGGAAACUGUCGAGCUAGAGUCCGGAAGAGGCGAGUGGAAUUCCUGGUGUAGCGGUGAAAUGCGCAGAUAUCAGGAGGAACACCAAUGGCGAAGGCAGCUCGCUGGGACGGUACUGACGCUGAGGUGCGAAAGCGUGGGGAGCAAACAGG
rnacentral:rRNA from 1 species